AGAAAAGUCAGCGAAUAAAGCUGCCGAAGAAAAGCGCAAGACGAAGAACAAAGACGAAGACGCCAAUAUAAGGAUGCCGGUUUGAGGUGUUUGUAGGCUUAAGUGUGUAUAGGUUUACUAUAAGUGUGUAUAGGCUUAGUAUAGGUG